GAUGAACGCUGGCGGCGUGCCUAAUACAUGCAAGUCGAGCGAACAGACGAGGAGCUUGCUCCUCUGACGUUAGCGGCGGACGGGUGAGUAACACGUGGAUAACCUACCUAUAAGACUGGGAUAACUUCGGGAAACCGGAGCUAAUACCGGAUAAUAUAUUGAACCGCAUGGUUCAAUAGUGAAAGACGGUUUUGCUGUCACUUAUAGAUGGAUCCGCGCCGCAUUAGCUAGUUGGUAAGGUAACGGCUUACCAAGGCAACGAUGCGUAGCCGACCUGAGAGGGUGUUCGGCCACACUGGAACUGAGACACGGUCCAGACUCCUACGGGAGGCAGCAGGAGGGAAUCUUCCGCAAUGGGCGAAAGCCUGACGGAGCAACGCCGCGUGAGUGAUGAAGGUCUUCGGAUCGUAAAACUCUGUUAUUAGGGAAGAACAAAUGUGUAAGUAACUAUGCACGUCUUGACGGUACCUAAGCAGAAAGCCACGGCUAACUACGU
rnacentral:rRNA from 1 species